rnacentral:rRNA from 1 species
GACAGAGGAUGCAAGCGUUAUCCGGAAUGAUUGGGCGUAAAGCGUGCGCAGGCGGCUUUGCAAGACAGAUGUGAAAUCCCCGGGCUUAACCUGGGAACUGCAUUUGUGACUGCAUGGCUGGAGUGCGGCAGAGGGGGAUGGAAUUCCGCGUGUAGCAGUGAAAUGCGUAGAUAUGCGGAGGAACACCGAUGGCGAAGGCAAUCCCCUGGGCCUGCACUGACGCUCAUGCACGAAAGCGUGGGGAGCAAACAGG